AGGAAAAGAAACCAACAGGGAUUGCCUCAGUAACGGCGAGUGAAGCGGCAAAAGCUCAAAUUUUAAAGCUGGCACCUCCGGUGUCCGCGUUGUAAUUUUGUGAGGCAUCUCCGGGUGGGGCGCCGGCCUAAGUUCCUUGGAACAGGACGUCAUAGAGGGUGAGAAUCCCGUGCUUGGCUGGCUGUCCCCGUCCAUGUGAGGUGUCUUCGACGAGUCGAGUUGUUUGGGAAUGCAGCUCAAAAUGGGUGGUAAAUUUCAUCUAAAGCUAAAUAUUGGUGGGAGACCGAUAGCGCACAAGUAGAGUGAUCGAAAGAUGAAAAGCACUUUGAAAAUAGAGUUAAAAAGUACGUGAAAUUGUUGAAAGGGAAGCGCUUGAGACCAGACUUCGGUGGGGAGUGAUCAGCCGUCCUUCUGGGCGGUGCACUUGCCCCCCUCCGGGCCAGCAUCGGUUGGGACGGCGGGAUAAAGGUCCCGGGAAUGUGGCUCCUCUCGGGGAGUGUUAUAGCCCGGGUGAAUGCCGCCAGCCCCGACCGAGGACCGCGCCUUCGGGCUAGGAUGCUUGGCAUAAUGGUCUUCAGCGACCC
rnacentral:rRNA from 1 species